AGUUUUACUGAAUUUACUAAAACGAUACACUUACAAUCUACUUAAUACAUUUAUGUUUAAGAUGGAAACAUAAUUGUAUUGUUUAAAUUCUAAAUGAAAUUCAACAUAAUCAUCAAAACAUGAUAUAAUCACUUUGCAAGAAAAUGUUCAAAUUGUUUCAGAUUUCAAACAAAUGGUGUUCAUGUAAAAUGAUUUUUUCUGCUGUUUGAUUUAUUUAAUUAAAAUAGGCCCAUGUCACACAAUUACUUUGUAUUUUCUUCUCAACUUAAUUCCAUUGUGUAGGCUAUAAUUAAUCUAAUUCAGGUUUGUGAAAUACGUCGUUUGCGCGGGAGCAACGCGCGCGAGAGCGUCUCCGCAUGCGCUUUGAAAUCCAGACCACACCAGGACCGUUGGUUUGGAAAGGACACAUGAGGGCACUGACUGUCUUUUUUCAAAGCUCGUUAAAAGUGAAAUUUGCUGUACAUUUGGAAUUCCAAAGCCUGUUCAGACAAAUUACGAGCUAAGUCAGUCCCCAACAAAGGCAGUUAGCCUUGUAGAAGUCGGUGAAUUAACUGAUGAAUACCCCUUGGCUGACUAUUUGAUUGGACAUGUGCAGAUGGUUACGUUAAAGAGAUUUGUCUGCUGCAAAGGAUGACAUUGAUGCAGCUUGUGAACUUGCCAUCAGAGGACUGUCUAUCUAUCUUAAUGAGGACUCUAAAGAUCUCAUUCAGGAGUAUGCGGACAUGGAAGAAGAUCUUUUACAGUGUGCGAUUGAGAAGACUACCAUGGGCAUCUUCCUGAUAAAGCACACUGCAGACAAUGAAGCCCAUGAUGUAGGCAUUGUGCUAGAGGGUGUAGCAGUGUUUCAGGACCUUGACAGUGUGGAUUUUGGCAACUUCAAUGUUUUUGGUCUAAUUUAUACUCUUAACCUGCAGUACCCCACAAAGUUGCGUUUUACAUAUGAAAUUUAGCAAAAACUCAUCAUGGACUUGGAUGCAGGUGAACUCUCUAUCAAGGCCCAAUUUCAAAUCUGAACUCCACCAGUGAGAUGGACUGAUUUUUGAAUGACUUCUGAGACUACAAACAAUCAACCUCGGAAAAUUUCAGCAGCCUUCAUGCAAGACCACCGCAGAGGGUAAACCGUGAUCUUGUUGUUUAGACUGUUCCCCUUUGCCUGCUCUCGUUUCUUUAUCUUUUUUUUUUGUCUGAAUUUGGCCCUUCUUUGGACUGGUUCAGAAGUUGAUUGAUUAGAGAGCUGAAUCUAUGAAACAUGGUUGAACUAGCAUAAAUAAGAUACAUUGUUUAUAGUUUAGGUAAGGGUGAGAUACUGUAUUUUCACAUUGUUUUGUAAUGUCUAUAUAUAAUUAUCUUUUAUCUAUUUUCUUGAAAUAACAGUUCCAGGUAGGGCUGCACGAUAUUGGGAAAAAAUGACAUUGCGAUAUUUUAUUUUUCUGCGAUAUAUAUUGCGAUAUGAAAUCUAAUCUAUUUUUUUCUUACAAACAAAAAUUGGGUGAGCACACUUACAUUCUCAUUUUAAAUGAUGUAAACAUCAACACCAUCGUGUCAAUUGAUUAAUAUUUGCUGGAGAGCAGCUGGCCCGUACAGUUAAUGAAUAACGAAUCAACUACGACAGCCUACAUCGCACAUCCUGCGAUGUGACUAUCGUGCAGCCCUAGUUCCAGGUACUGGUGUUCUUGGGUACAGUUUUAAGGUUCGUGAGAGAAAUGAAAUAAAAUAGUGUUACAAUGUUGUUUUAGUUUUUAAACGCACAGUUACAUGCAGUAUAAUGUUA